ACUUGAAUCGACCAAAAAGUUACAGCGAGAAUUAUUUUUCAUCACUCGUUUCCUUUAUAAUAUGUAUUAUUGAAAAACAUUAUCUUUCGUUGGCUAAAUGCCUUGAUAAUUUUUCUGCAGGGGGCCUCGACUGAUUGAAAGUGUGAAGGGAAAGUUAAGCCUGCAGGGAGCAAACAUUCUCAAAGUGAAAAGAAUAAAUAAUGUUUUUGAGAAAAAAUUCAGUGUUAGGCCCGAAGAAAAACUUGUAAAGGCAGCUCACUGUAAUUUACAAACAACAGCAGGUCCUAUAGCAGGAGUUCUCUUCAUUUCCACAGAUAGGGCUGCUUUUCUCAGUCACAAACCAAUUAAGAUUUCUUCUUCCAGCGGCGAGAUUAUUAAAUUCCACUACAAGGAGGCGAUUUAUGAGACUCAAGGCCACUAUACUCUCUGAUAAAGCUGGGAAUUUUGCUAUACACAUUGGUUUCAUAUAUACAAACCGGAGUUGAUUCUGAAUGUGGUACACCUGGUCUCACCAUAGAUGGACAAGCUUGUACAUUAAUUUUUUGUUGUUAGACUAGAGUACAUAUCUGCAUGUAAUUUCUAGAUGAGCUUAGUGAUAGUCUAAGUUCUUUUGCUUGUCAAGCAAGAACCAUUGUAUUCAGAUUUUGUUCAUAGAUAUAGGCAUACUCCAGGCCGUUUGGCUAAAA